rnacentral:pre_miRNA from 1 species
CGGGGGAGGUGGGAUCCUGGGCUGUGUCCCGGCGCCCUGUGCCCCGGAGCCUGCGCUGGUGGAUUCGCGCUCCCGGGCCGCGCAGCCCCCU